ACGUAAUAAGUGCUGCUUCUAAUUAUUAAUUUCCCAUUAAUUUGUAUAUUCUACUAAAAUUCAAAUGUCGUUACUACAGAUUGAUCAAAUGGUGGUAUAUUAUUUAUAAGCGAUAGUGUGCAUACAUAAUUCGUCGAUAUAUAAAUAUAUUGAUUUGUACGAUCAAGCAGUAACCGGUAGUACGCUCUUCCAGUUAUCCGUUUCCUCCGUUUGUCCCUUUCUUCCUCUCAUUGUCUCCUUUUGGCUUUUUACAUAUGUACGUGCCUCGACCAAUAAUACGAUGCACGUACGUUCAUUCAUAGAACGCUAACGUGGUUUCAGAGUACAUACCGUGUACGGUUUAGUUGUAAUCAAGUAAGAUACGGACACCAUGAGUGGCAACCUUGCGGACAAGAUGACACGUAUGCAUAGUCGGAUGUGCAUAGCAUACGGUCGCAUUGGCUGUCGACGAUUGACUGACAUCCCAUUCAUUCUUGCUACAAAGGCGGCCGAUAAUUGUAGAGCGGUCGAUCAUACCUUACGUUAAAAUUUUGUUAAUGACUGCAAAUUUCACCGUUUACCUCGUAAUCGGAUCAAGUAUCGGAGAUGGACUUACUUUUAGUCGAAGCGUCUAUUCUCGGGCAUGGAACUUGAAGCAAGUCGAAGCAUCACAUUUCAUUAUACCGAAGUGCAGUAGCAAUUUUCUACGAUGUCGUUGAGCUUGUUUUCGCUCGUCCCGUUAUAAAAUUAGUUUGUCAAUUUUGCGUUAAUUUUCCGGUAUUAGAAGUAACCGGGACAUAGAAAGACCAGGGGAAUGGGAAACGGAGGGGGAAGGGUUGCCGUAAGUACUUCGAAAAAAUUGCGAAAAUACGCGGAAUGUCGUCUGAGAAAAAAAAAGAAAUAUCGUGCGAUGAUGUUAGAUCGUUCGCCAUAACGAAUUGCUCGAAAAUAGUAUCACCCUUUUUAUUGUCAUUUUCGACGAACAAUAAGACAACUUCGUUAUUCGUGCAUAAUUUUACGGAUCGUGUGAUCCACAUAAAAGAGCUGGAUACUUAAUCAGAACCGCGAACGUUCACUUUUGUUUUACUCGUACAGCCUUCAAACUGUCGAAAUCAAGAAAUAUUACACAAUGAGUGUAUCGUAUCGUAAAUGAAAACUACUGGAAGGUAAGAGUACAACUAGUUUCCAAGUGUUAUAAUUUUACAACAGCGGCCGAUCUCUAAUUCGCAUUGUACACCAAAGAGAACACGUACAUUACCGCCAUGGAAUAUCCACGUUUAAUUAUCCGCUGCAUGCUUUCUAUAAGUGAAUAACUUUCACUGCUUAUCGAUAUUAAGAUGCUCUGUGAAUGUUUGGAACGUUGUUUAUCGCCAAAUUUCCCUGCACCUUGACGGGCAAUGAUUCCCGAAAUUAUUUAUCGUGAAAGUUAUUAAUUAAAAUCCAGCGUAACUUCUGCCUCGUGCAUAUCAGUGUCCAAAGACCUUUGAACAUGUUCGUCAUCAGGCAAUAAAUGCAAAGUGCAUACGGAACCUUUUUUGUGACGAUAUGCGUAACGCCAGAUGUGACGCUACUUUCACAGAAAAGCCAGCAUCAUUCGUCUACGUAUACCACAGGUUCUCGAGUACAAUAGUAGCUUAUAUUUUUAAACAUAUGACGUAGGUAGGAGACAGUACGGAUGGUAAACGGUAGAUCGUAGACGUGACUGUCUGGUUACGAAUAGACUUAUUUCAACGAUCGGUGUCAUCGGGACUGUGGUCAAGCAACGGCCACAACCACCUUGGCACGGAUUCUUAAUUGAGCAGUAACUGACGAAUUCAUUGUUCCCGCACAGAUUCGUUACGUUUCGAUGAGAUUUCUUGACUACCGCACUUUUACGAUCUAUACCGUCAUAAAAGAAAGGUGUAAGAUAUUUCUAUUCUUGACCUCGACCUCGAUCUAGGAUCACACGAUGACUACGAUCUAGGAUCUAGUAUUCGAUUUCCAAUUCGAUUUUCGUUCGAUCAUUAAAAUAACAAUGACCAGGGAUAUUUUGACGCGGAACAUAACAGGCUGAAUUUAUUAUCAAGAACCUUUGCCACGACUGUCAUAUUCAACUAAUGUCCCUAUACGAAUUCAUUUGGGAGGGAUUCAAAGAGAGUCGAUACUUUUGGAGGAAUGUAAAUUCUUAAAGUGAUCGUGCGAAUGACAGGCGUGACCUUGCCCCAAGUUUUGAACAUCUAAACUAUCUGCAUAAUUUGCAUCGAUCAAUAUUGCAGUGAAUCAUUGUCAAAAUAUUCUUAUUUUCACGUAAGUUCUACGCUAACAAUGCAAGUAUAUACUUGUAUUUUCUGAAGUCUUAUCAAUGAUUAACGAGUACUUAUCGAAGAAAUAUUCCUCACGAUAUUAUAUGCUACUGAUAACAAUUAUACAAUCGAAAAAUGUUUCAAGGCGAUAAAAAAGC
rnacentral:lncRNA from 1 species